GACGAACCGUGCGAACGUUGUUCGGAAUCACUGGGCUUAAAGGGCGCGUAGGCGGAUGUCCGAGUCCGGGGUGAAAGCCCCCAGCCCAACUGGGGAAGUGCCUCGGAUACCGGACAUCUCGAGGGGGGUAGGGGCAGGCGGAACUUCCGGUGGAGCGGUGAAAUGCGUUGAUAUCGGAAGGAACGCCGGUGGCGAAAGCGGCCUGCUGGACCCCUUCUGACGCUGAGGCGCGAAAGCCAGGGGAGCGAACGGG
rnacentral:rRNA from 1 species